rnacentral:lncRNA from 10 species
CUAGCUCUGUGGAAGUUUGAGUGACUCAUUGCAGAGAGGAAUUGAUGAAGUCAACAGCUGCUGGAAAAACUUCUUUUUCCUUAAUAGCUGUAUCAACAUGUGGUUGCUAUUAUUCAAAGUGGAUGAAAUAAUUCUGCAAGCCAGUGGGAACAGGAAGCUUCAUGAAGAGGAGAAAGGCUUAGGGCUCAGAAACCGCACAGAGCAGGAGGAUAGAUGAAUGUAAGGAACAGAGCUUUGAGGACAGACACCCCUGGAUUAGACAAUAGCUCCAAAACUUAUUAAUGAUGGUGAAUGGGUGACUUUCUAAAACCCUUUAAACCUUAUUUGUAAAAUGGGACCAUCAAUAUCUAUUUUGAAAUCUUGUAUAAAUUUGCAAUAAUGUCUGUAAAGUAUCUGACAGGAGCUCAGAAAUGACACAAUUCUUUAAAUCCACUCACACCCAACUUUUAAACAAAAAGUAGCAGUAUAUCCUACACACGAUUUUUAAAUUUUACUAUUUAAGUUAACAUCAUGCUAUGAACAUAUUUCCAUGUCAUUAAAUAUUCUAUUCCAUCCAAUAUUUAAAAGCUAAUAGAAGUCUGUUAAAUGCAUAUGCCAUAAUUUAUUUAACCAAUUCGGUUGUUUUAAUAUUUAUGUUGUUUCCAAUAUAUUAUGCUAUUGACAAUAAAAUGAUGAACAUUUAUGAUGAUGAA